UACAGAGGUCUCAAGCGUUUGUUCGGAUUCAUUGGGCGUAAAGGGUGCGUAGGCGGCGCGGUAAGUCGGGUGUGAAAUCUCGGAGCUUAACUCCGAAACUGCAUUCGAUACUGCCGUGCUUGAGGACUGGAGAGGAGACUGGAAUUUACGGUGUAGCGGUGAAAUGCGUAGAUAUCGUAAGGAAGACCAGUGGCGAAGGCGGGUCUCUGGACAGUUCCUGACGUGAGGCACGAAGGUCAGGGGAGCAAACGGG
rnacentral:rRNA from 1 species